CUCCCCUUUCCUUCCACUCCUCCCACUCCUCCCCUUUCCUUCCACUCCUCCCUCUCCUCCCCACUCCUCCCUCUCCUCCCAACUCCUCCCUCUGUUGGGAGGAGUGGGGAGGAGACAACAGGCCCCUCUGUUGUCACGUGUUGCUGACUUCCAGAGAGUGGCGACGGGGGGAAUCAAUAAACCCAUCAACUUCGGGACACACUAGUGACUUGAAUGAUGCAAUUCAUGUUCCACUUGUAAAUAAUAAAAUGAGCAUGAAAUUAAAAUGAACGAAUCCCCUGUCGUCUACAAAAUAUAAACCUCAGUAACAGUUAAAGAUUGAUUUACAUGUGUCAAGUCUCAACAUCAGACAUAAACAAAUCUACAUGCCAUAUAAUUAAACUGAAAAAUAACACAGUGCCUUAUGGGAUUCCAGCUUGCUAUGAAUCCGUCAGCGUUGCAGGCUAAUUAGCCCCAACUCCAUCGAUCAAUUUCACUCCUUCAGCUUUGGAACACGUGUUCAAAACGGAGGAGGUCGAAGUGUCAUAAUGCAUAGAGAUAUUUAGAGGACGCGACAUUGUAUCUGUCUGUGACAUUAUGUACGGCCAUUGAGGCCAUCUCCAUUUUGAAAUAGUACAUUGUAUUCUUCUACUACGUCUACGAGUUGGUAAACAAACUGAAAGGGUGCAUACUGCCACAUGGAGUGUGCUGUUUAAACAGUUACAAAGUCAAUGUUUGCAUAGGAAGUCCCACCCAGUUGACUACUUUAAAAUUGUGAAAUUCCUCAAUGGCACUGGCACAUGCUUAUACAUGUGCUUUUGGGUCCUGGAAGUCCUCUUUCUCUAAGUUGUCAUGUGACUGUUGCAUUGUGGGUGGUAACCUCUAGGCACUUUUAACAAACCCAAACAUGGCUUGUAAUUUGGUUUGGUGUUGAGGCUUCGCUACAGGGGAGAUAAUAACUCUGAUGUGCUGACUACUCUGAUGGAAUUUAUUUGUUUUUAAAUAUUUAAAAAAAUACAAGACGAUCAACUGUGCCAGCUAUCAUGCCUUUGCUUAUUGUUUCAUCUUCUCAUAAAUAGCAAACCUGGCAUGACCAUAGAGUAGGUAUUCAAAAUCACCAGCAAAACAAUAUUAUGAGGAUCAUGGUGUAAUAUAAUAGACAGAUACACAUUAACAUGACAUCAAUCAUAUGACACCACCAGAGAAUAUUUGCCAUUUUAAAGAAAAAAUAUAUAUCUCACAAAAUCUGUUACGUAAAUAGUUUUUCAGAUCAAUGUCUUCCAGCAUAUUGUGUUUGGGUCCCUUUUUAUCUUUUAUUUAUUUUAUUUAUUCAAACCUGUCGAGAAAGUCUUCAAAGAGAGCAGCUUGUUGUUGUUUGAGGUUUGUUUUUAAAAAGGUCCCUUCUCCUUCCACUCCAGUUGCCAUAGAAACAAACAAAAAAAAUGGUCACUGCUGUGUCAUCCCCCACCCACCACCCCAAAAAAAGAAGCCCGUCUUUUCUAUCGCUUUGUCACAGUCUGUCUUUCUCUUUCUCUCUUUUUUUCUGUCCAUUAAAAUAACAUCAAAUUGAUCAGAAAUACAAUGUUGACAUUGUUAAUGUUGUAAAUGACUAUUGUAGCUGGAAACGGCAGAUUUUUUUAUGGAAUAUCUACAUAGGCGUACAGAGGCCCAUUAUCAGCAACCAUCACUCCUGUGUUCCAAUGGCACGUUGUGUUAGCUAAUUCAAGUUUAUCAUUAUAAAUGGCUAAUUGAUCAUUAGAAAACCCUCAACGUCAACAGUGAAGUGGCGACUCCAGAAUUGCAAAGAAAAGGCCAUCUCUCAGACUGGCCAAUAAAAAGAAAAGAUGAAGAUGGGCAAAAGAACACAGACACUUGACAGAGGAACUCUGCCUAGAAGGCCAGCAUCCCUGAGUCGCCUCUUCACUGUUGACGUUGAGACUGGACAGAGGAACUCUGCCUAGAAGGCCAGCAUCCCUGAGUCGCCUCUUCACUGUUGACGUUGAGACUGGACAGAGGAACUCUGCCUAGAAGGCCAGCAUCCCUGAGUCGCCUCUUCACUGUUGACGUUGAGACUGGACAGAGGAACUCUGCCUAGAAGGCCAGCAUCCCUGAGUCGCCUCUUCACUGUUGACGUUGAGACUGGACAGAGGAACUCUGCCUAGAAGGCCAGCAUCCCUGAGUCGC
ensembl:lncRNA